rnacentral:sRNA from 1 species
UACGAAACUGUGACGUCAGAUAAAGUCGA